AAAAGAAUCAUCAAAGAUAAAACUAUGGAUUUUUAAACCUUGAUCAAAUCGCAAAUUCAAUUGUCGCGGCUCUGGAGAAUCAUUACAGAGUAGACAAAACAAAGGCAAUUCCGGGCUGAUUAUGAAUCUUGAAGCCAUUGACAGCUUGAAAAGGAAGUAAAUAACCCUAGAUUUGUCUUCUAAAACCACAAAUCUGGUAGUCCCAAACAUUU
rnacentral:misc_RNA from 1 species